rnacentral:lncRNA from 13 species
AUUGGAGCAGCAGCAGCUGACUGCCCAGUUAAAUUGGGUUGAUGUUUGGCUCUGAAUGUCUCUAAAUAAUUUAUUAUUAUAAUAUAACAUACAAAUAAUGAAUAACGAAGACAAUGAUGGUUUUCUGUGAAUAGCUUCCAUAACGUUACUAUAGUUAAUUAACGUAAAUAUUAGAAAGCCGGGUUUGACUGUCGGCGUUGUGAGCUACAGUACAGUACCGUUAUCCAGCUAUAUAACAUUAUGUCCUAAUUAGGCAGAACUAAGUUUGGAUUAUUUCCUGAACUAUAUUAUUUCCCAUAUAUUGUAUAUCGUUUCCAUAAAGCCAACAUUGCUUUACACUCUCAUUAACGUAAAUUUCCAAUCUAGAGCAGUUCUCACUUUUGUGAUAAUAAACUAGCUAACAUUAGCUUCGUUAACCAACUAAGGAUGGUGACCUGUCCAGACGAGAUGUUACAACGAACUGAAUCGUCAUUGGAGGUCUUCCUCUUUAUAUAGCCUGCUACAGCAUGCAAUGCUAUUAACUCACAAGGGGGCAUAACGUUACAUGUACAAUACUAUCCCAUUUUGGAAACGUUACAUGUGCUUUUAAGACUAUUCUUUGUCAACAUUUUCUCUUCCUUUGAAAUUCUUAUAGGACAGAACAUGGACAAUGCAAUUGGGAUCAAGAAGAAGAUCUUCUCAGAAAUGAAUAAAGUCUAUGGAAUGGAUAAAGACAAAAAUAUAAUUCAAGGACUAGCAGAGGUAGAGAGGCGAGGCAGGGGUGAGGACAUCAUCCUGCUAUUUUGACAGUCCCUGAAGGACAAUAUAGAAGAGGACUGGAGACCACAGCAGUGAUUCUGCUCUUGCCCAACCUCUUCAAUGAGGACCUGUGUGGCCUUUAUGUACGUGACAAGGUAUGCCUAUGCACCAAUCAUCUGUUUCUUCAUAAAUAUAGGUGUGCAUGCUUAUAUAAA